ACAAUUUACCCAGACUGACAACAAAUAUGAGUAAAGUAAGUACUUUUAUGCAUUUCUUUUGUGGUUUCUUGAAGCAUUUUGUGAAUGCGGAAAAGCGCCCCUGU